GUCAUCAUUGCAAAAGCAAUAAGUUGCAAUAGUUGUAAACAUAAACUUAACAUUCAUUUGUAGAUUGUUUAUUGCUGCUCUUCAUUUCAAUGAGAAUGGAAACAAAGCUCAUAAAAUGAAGAAUGAUGGGGAAACAGAAGAGGAAUUGAUUUGGAGAGUGGCUUAUUCAAAUUCAAAAGAAGGGCAAGGGGAUAUCAAACCAGUGAAAAUUGACAGCACUUAUGGAUAUGUUAAGGACUUGAUGAAAGAAGUUUUGUACUGCAGACGCAUUAAUCCAACACUGUCCAAAGCUCUUCAUGUCUGGAGUGAAAGAAAUACCUGUCCCAUUGACUUGCCACAAAUCAAAAAUCAGCAAAGCUGAAGCCAUUAAGCAACAUAAAUGUCGCUUCUAUAUAUAAAAAGAUAAUAGAAAUAGCGUUCCACAUGAAAUAAACAUAAUUACAAAUGAA